rnacentral:tRNA from 1 species
UGGCCGAUAGUUCAAUUGGUAGAACGCCGGUUUUUGGUACCGGAGGUCGCAGGUUCGAUCCCUGCUCGGCCAGCCA